GUCGGAAUGGCGGAAUUGGUAGACGCGCUAGGUUGAGGGCCUAGUGAGGGUAUAACCUCAUGGGGGUUCAAGUCCCCCUUCCGACACCA
rnacentral:tRNA from 2 species